ACCUGGGUGGCUCAGUUGGUUGAGCAUCUGACUUCAGCUCAGGUCAUAAUCUUGGGGUCCUGGGAUCAAGCUCCCUGUUCAGGGG
rnacentral:tRNA from 1 species